rnacentral:rRNA from 1 species
UACAGAGGUCUCAAGCGUUGUUCGGAUUCAUUGGGCGUAAAGGGCGCGUAGGUGGCCCGGUCAGCGUGCGGUGAAAGCUCGGGGCUCAACCCCGAGUCGGCCGUGCGAACUGCUGGGCUCGAGCACUGUAGAGGCAGGCGGAAUUCCGGGUGUAGCGGUGGAAUGCGUAGAGAUCCGGAAGAACACCGGUGGCGAAGGCGGCCUGCUGGGCAGUGGCUGACACUGAGGCGCGACAGCGUGGGGAGCAAACAGG